UGUAGUUUGCUGUGAGAUUACAGAGCAUAAUCCCUCCCACCUCUCUUUUCUGCCUGUGUGAGUCACUCUAUAUUCAGAGUAAUGCUUGCAUGCCUUUGUAACAGAAGGAGCUGCAUUGAAUGCUAGCAGUACACUAGUUCUGGGUGCAAUGACAAGAGCUUGGAUGUGAUAUUCUUGGAAGAGAACAAGAAAUGGGAAGUCAAGGAGCCUGGAUCAUUCCAAGUACCUGCUGAAGCCACAGUUUUUAUUCACUCGUUGAUUCUCUGAUAUUCUCAGCAAAGGGGUCUUAAAAGAGUCUCCUGGCAGGAAGUCAUUCUGCAAGAUUCAAGCUCUGUCAUGCACAUGCACAACAUUGAUGCUACCAGCUAUGGAAAAUCUAUUACAAAGCAGUAUAUGCUUCAAGAAUGACAGGAUAAUGAAAACGCUUCAUAGAAGGAGGACAGUGACUUAAAGGAGUUUAUUUCUCUAGACUCCAUCUUUGAGCAAAAGAGAAAACAGAAACUUAAGAGGAAAUAUUCACUGAAGUGUGUUUCUGGAUGCAGUGCUGCCUGCUUUAUACUCACAUCAGAAGUCUAAAUAAUAAUAACAGAGACGCCGUAAGAUUAUCCUUCAAUUGUUUCAGGGGUCCAGCAAUGUAGAGCAAAAUUGUGCAUUGCUGGACCCCUCCUUGCAUUUAUUCUUGUCAUAUUCCAACCCCUUGAAAUGGUCUACAUUUAAAAAGAAGAUUAUUAGAAAAUUAAAUAAUUUUGGAAUCUUCAGAGUGGAACUGAAUAUCUAGAGCCAUGUGCUCUUCUGACAUAGGUGAUGGCAUUAAGGAUUCUGUAGUUACAUGUUGGAAGAGCGUUCUCUACAAUGUGCUUAUCGGUGCAGUGCUUGUUCUGAUCAUCAUCAUCACCAUAUGUGGUAAUGUGGUGGUAUGUCUAGCUGUGGGCCUGGACCGCAAGCUGCGCAGCAUGACAAAUUGUUUUAUUGUGUCAUUGGCUAUAACAGACCUUUUGUUGGGUAUUUUGGUACUACCAUUUUCUGCCUUAAACCUCUUACACGAAGAAUGGCCUUUUGGGGCUACUUUUUGCAACAUUUACACAAGCCUGGAUGUCAUGCUGUGUACAGCCUCAAUUCUUAACCUUUUCAUGAUCAGUUUAGAUCGAUACUAUGGGGUCACUGCCCCACUUCGUUAUUCCAUGCACGUGACACCCUUUCGUGUGGCCAUAGCUAUGUGUGUGAUAUGGGUGGUUUCCCUCAUGGUAUCUUUUCUCCCCAUUCACCUAGGCUGGAAUACAAAAGAUAAAUCUAUCCAGAACUACAGAGACAGCAAUGACAAGGAAUGUAAAUUGGAACUGAACAAAGAGUAUGUCUUAGUUGAUGGUCUGCUAACAUUCUACCUCCCAUUAAGCAUCAUGUGUCUCAUGUACUACAGAAUCUUCAAAAUCGCUAGGGAGCAAGCCAAAAGGAUUAAUCAUGCCAACUGUUGCAAUGCACUAAGCCCCACAUUACCUACUGUUCGAGAACAUAAAGCUACUGUUACUUUGGCAGCUGUCAUGGGGGCUUUUAUCAUUUGUUGGUUUCCUUAUUUUACUGUCUUCACUUAUCAAGGGGUGAACGAAACUGAUGUAGAUGAGACAGCUUCCUUAAUAGUAUUGUGGUUGGGUUAUGCUAACUCAGCACUCAAUCCAAUAUUAUAUGCUGCUCUGAAUAGGGAUUUUCGCACUGCAUACCAGCGAUUAUUACACUGUCGGAGAGUUGGGCCUCAAAACCAUGAAACCCAACUGACAUUACUUCACAUUCGUCGUUCUGAGGACAGGACACAUCAAAUUAUGCAAAAUACACAAGAAGAAAAACUAAACAUGGUCCAUGAUACGAAUGGAAAAGAUGGAAGGCUAUUUAUCACGAACACAAUGGAAAGCUGAAGAUCAUAGGUCUCCUGAUGUCCAUGAUCUGUAGCCCGGUUCAGGGUCCUCUUCCACAAACUUUUACUCCUGGCUGCCCUCUGCUGAGCCCACCAGCACCAAGAGACUAGGUCAGGUUUCCCUGGAGACAAGCAAAGUGUAUCAAAAACAAUUGGAGAACAAUCCAGACUGUGCAGUAAAUGUGUGGAUUUUCUGACCUAGAUGAGAGCGCUGAUUGUGAUUGUCUUCAGAUUGUCUUCACAUGGAACACAAAUGACAGACCCUGGAACCUUUUACCUUCACAGCUUAAGGACACAAUGUUUAUUCUAAAGCAGAAGUUCACCUUUAAAAAGGUUUUAAUCUGUUAUAGAAGAAUGGUUGUUGGACCUUUUUCAGUUCAUGCCCAUGUUAGAAGUUUAACCUUUGGUCAGGAUGCCUCUUAGCUCAUAACACUGGUUCAUUUUUCCUUCCUAUUAUGGCUCUUUUUGACCUGCAAAUGGAAAUACCAUCACUGACCCUUAGAACUUAUAUUUGCUCAUAUUUUUGAUUCAGUCCUAUACUAUUCAUCUUCCAUUUAUUUCUUUCCAAUUGUUGCCUGGUUGCUGGAGUAAUUAUUAAGCCCAAUGUUCAAAUCACAAACCUGACAUAUGUACAGAAACGAUUGCCAAUUGCCCUUAUGAACUGUUGAUUUGAAAGUGAACUACCCCUUUAAUACACACAAUUUUGUAAGUAUUUGUGCAGUUGCACAAGAAAAAUCUUAGUCCAAGGACAUCUAUUUUAAGACUUGUAUCUAAGUCAAUGGAACCUAUGACAAUCAUCAGGGGAAGAAAUGUUUAUACAGGAUUUUUAUCUAUGGCAGUCCCGGAAUAUGAACACAGGACAACUCCCACCUCCAGGUACCUCAGCUUAAGAUGCUGCAGGAUGGGCAUUCUUGGGAACAGUUACUGGGAUGAUGCUUAAUACAGAAACAUCUUGUACAAACUGGUUUUCUUUUGAUGGAAAUUUGCUCAUCACUGUGAAUGGUAAUCAUCAAAUAGACACAAAUGGAGUGAUUGUAACCUUUUUUUUUUAAACUUGCUAAAAAAAAAAAAAAAGGCAACGUAAAAUAAAGCAAUUUACUAUGGGAAACACAAGCUUCAUAUUAGGCAAUAUUGUAAUACAUUGACCUGGUAUGGCACUUUAUAUCUGUCAUUAUGAUUACGCUCAGGUGGUAUACAUGUAGUCACAGUCAUGUGACGUGUCAGAUCGCACACAGCCAUUUGCCCCCUGGUGGCAGUCUCAGUACCUUCCGCAUAGGAGCUCAUUUACUAAACUAGGUGACUGCCUCAGUAGUUCAUAUAGAUCCAUCUACUACAAGUUAUACAACAAUAAAAGAAAAUAUCCGAUAGAACUAGGGUCAUUUAUGGGAAGGAAUCCACAAUUUUUUCCACUUUACACACUGCAUUUCUGCUUUAAAAAAAUGCUGCCCAUCUCUAUGUUCCAUUUCAAAGCACAGAAACCUGCAACCAGGUUAUAUUUAUCUGCCAUUGGGUGCAGAGCACAACCAGACUUGGGAAAGAGCUUGGCCCCUCUUGGCUCUUGCACUUCUUCCCAAGGUUUGAGUAAAUGAGCCAUUUUGUCUUUACAGUACUGGGGCAACACCUAUGUUAGCACCUAUCAACACAUUCUUUUGGCAAUAAAGAGCUUAGUGUAUGCCAUCUCUAGCAUUGUGCCAAAAACAACUGCCUAUCUGCACUGGACAUCUGUUCCUGCUUAAGUCACUCACUUGCAACAUAAUUAUUUCCAGUCAGCCAGUGAGAUGCUACCCAUUUUGCAAUCAAAGGAAAUGUAAGUUGGUUUUAUCUUACAUUCAUUUCCCCAUAGUCAGUUGUGAUGCUGUAUCAUUUUUCAUUCACUGACUUGUUCUUUGAAGCACAUUUGCUUUUAUAUACAUUAGAUGAGCAGGAACUGCCAUAUUGAAAUGUGUCAAUUAAGGAAUAACUAAUUAUGACAGUAAUAAAAGUAUGAUCUAGCAGCGUUCUGCAUACAGUGGAGCCUCAAUUUUACAUCCCCUGAUUUUAAGUUUCCCUCAUACAUUGUUGUUUUUGGUCCCAUCUAUAUAUUAUGCA